rnacentral:tRNA from 1 species
UCCCUAGUGGUCCAGUGGAUAGGACUCUAUGCUCCCAAUGCAGGGCGCCCAGGUUCGAUCCCUGGUCAGGGAA